rnacentral:rRNA from 1 species
GACGAACGCUGGCGGCGUGCCUAAUACAUGCAAGUCGAACGAGUGGCGGACGGGUGCGUAAUGCUUGGGAAUCUGGCUUAUGGAGGGGGAUAACGACGGGAAACUGUCGCUAAUACCGCGUACCAUAGGAUGAGCCCAAGUGGGAUUAGGUAGUUGGUGGGGUAAUGGCCUACCAAGCCGACGAUCUCUAGCUGGUCUGAGAGGAUGACCAGCCACACCGGGACUGAGACACGGCCCGGACUCCUACGGGAGGCAGCAGUGGGGAAUAUUGCGCAAUGGGGGCAACCCUGACGCAGCCAUGCCGCGUGUGUGAAGAAGGCCUUCGGGUUGUAAAGCACUUUCAGCGGGGAGGCGUUACCCGCAGAAGAAGCACCGGCUAACUCCGUGCCAGCAGCCGCGGUAAUAC